GAGGAGCAGAAAUUACCGGCGGGGGAUGGUAAUUGCAACCGUUCGAGAAUUUACAACUUGGUGUGGGGAAUGUGCGAUAUCAUAUGAUAGUCUUCUCCUCUGUAACGUUCUUCUAGAAUAGGACAUCCCCUAAUACUCAAUUCCUGCAGUGUCGUCGUUUGAAGAAGGUGAUCUGGCAGCACAUUUAAUUUGGGGCAGCAAUCAAUUUCCAAGGAAGAAAGACGCGGCAUGAUGGAGAUGUUUUCCUUCCUCGUAACCCUGUAAUUCCACUCUUCCAAUUCAUCCAAGUCCUCAAUUUUGAGUGAUUUCAAUUUGGGGAAGGCAAUAACUGAUGAAGAUGAAGAUGUGUCAUCAACACUACUCUCUUCUAUUCCCAAAAACUCAUCACCCACUCUUUUUACACUAAUCAAAUUGUAUAGGGUGAGUUUUUCCAGAAGCAAUUUUCCCAGUGGAGGCAAAUGCUCACAGUUAACGCACGAGAAGAGUUUUAGUUCCCUUAGAUUGGUUAGCAAAGUCAACCAUUUGGGAAAAAUGUUGCCUCCGUAGAAUAUAAUCCAUAAUUCCUCUACAUUCAAAGGCGGUUGUAAGGCUUCAAGAAGUUGUUUAUCUUUCUCAUUCUUCCUCCUCCCUUCUUCGCCUUCCCCAUCUACGACUCUACCAAACUCAAGAUGCAAACGAAGGAGGUUUUUCUUAUUGUAAAGUUGUAACCUCUCAGCCUCAUCUACAUGCGAUACAUUACUCAGCCCUUCUACUCUACAUUCACGAAGGAGUUGAAGAUUUUUCAGAGAUUCAAGCCUACACGUGCUGCCACCAUCAACACCUCCACCCACAACAAACUUUUCUAAUGUUCGAAGGCUGGUCAAUCUGGAAAUCCCUAUUGGCAGGUACUUCAGCUUUUCAGUUUGACCAUUCAUUAAACUCCUCAUGUUCAUUAACUUUCCAAUCCCCGCAGGCAAUUCUCUAAGAUUUGUACACCAUCUAACAGCUAGCUUUUGUAAAUUAUAUAAUUCACACAAAGUCUCAGGCAGUCUCUCUAUACAUAAUUCAGAUAAAUUAAGAUAUUUUAAAUGUAUCAAUUUUCCAAUAUUUUCUGGAAUUUCUCUAAUGAAAUUUUUGUCAUCUAAGGGUACGAACCAUUGCCUUAUAACUAGUGCCCUUAAACAUGCCACUUUACUAAAUAACUCCACAAGGAUGCUGCCAUUAAGAGACGGACUGUAAGGACUUAAAUCAUAAAUUAAGAGGGUACGCAAUCUAUUAAAUUCAGGAGUGGACAUAGGAAAUGAAGCUCCUCCUUCAAAGUUUAACCCUAAGUGACGGACUUUCUCACCAAAAGAGUUUAUGACUGAUUCUUUCCUACUGUUAAUUUCUACCCACAAACAUUCUUCUCUACUUACAAGUUGGGCAAAAUCAUGUACUAUGUCAUGCAUCUUGCAACUCAUAACAUUAUCAUCAUAAUCUUUCACAAACUCUUGAAAGAAAGAGCGUGUUGCUAAGAUGUUGAAAUACUCUUCUCCAAUAAUCUCCAUCUCUUCAUCUUCUUCUGAAUUAAGGUAACAUUGAGCCAUCCAUAGUGUAAUUAGUUCUUCUUUCCUUAUAUUGUAGUCUUUUGGAAAGACAGAACAGUAUGAGAAACAUCGUUUUACCAUAGAAUUGGAGGGCAAAUCAUUAUAGCUCAAUAACAAAGGAGGCAAAAGACCUUUCCCAAUCUCUUCCACCUUCCACAUUUCACUAUCUAAAAUUCUUUUCCACUCGCUUACUGUUCUUUUAGAGCGCAACAGAUUCCCUAUUACCUUUGCAGCAAGAGGCAAGCCUUUACACUUACAUGCAAUUUUUCGUCCGAUUGGUUCUAAUUUUUCACAAUCCUCAAAGGACCUACCUAGAAAUGCUACCUGCUUAAACAGUGACCAACAUUCCCCUUCACCCAACUCCUUGACAGAGAUAAUAUCUAUUGAUCCCAUUUGGAGUGCAACUGACCUAUCACGUGUGGUAAUUAGAAUUUUACUUUCAUGGUGGCCAUUCUUUAGACAAGAAAAGAACGGAUCCCAUUUUUUGUAAUCUCCAUCCCACACAUCAUCCAAAACAAGAAAAAAUUUCUUCUCCCUAAUAGAUUCCUGAAUCUGUUGCAUAAGAGAUUGGAAUUCGCCUAAACUAGAAGCAGAUUUGUCUAAAACCUCAAGAAUUGCUUUAGCAAUCCUAAUCUCCUCAAAAGCGUCUGAUACACACACCCAUAUAACUAUGUCAAACUUUCUUUUCACCCCCUCAUUGUUGAAGGCUAGUUGCGCAAGGGUUGUUUUACCUAUACCCCCUAACCCAAACAGUGAGAUGAUACGAAGGCCUUUUUGUUGUUCGCUACUCUCACCCAACAACUUGCUUAACAGCUCAUUUUUCUCGUCAAUUCUACCACAAAUCUCCCCCUCAUCAACCAAGGAGGUGGUUCGAACUCGCUCUGGCUUCUUGACAUUGUUACUCACAUUCUCAGCAAAUUUAAACCUAUCUUUUUGAGAGGUAAUAUCAUCCAGCGUUUUAUUGAUUUCUCUAAUCUUGACAGCAAUGUCAUGACGAAGACUGAGUUGUUUGAAACUACCGAAGCAGUUUGAGGCAGAAGGAAAGAAGGAACAUACCUUCUUCUUAUGAGCAGCAAGAGCAAGAGUAUUGUCAUCGUCAAGGCCCUCAAUCUGCAAUUUGAGCCUUGCAGUGGUCCACUCCUCCAACACAUCUUCCAUGUCGUAAGAUGCGUCUUUGAGCUGAUCCAGCCAAAAAGUAACAGCUUUGUCGUGCUGCAUUUGCCUUUUCUCUGCAUCUUCCAGCACAAGUUGAAUGGCUUGAAGAUUGCUGGUAAGCUUUUUCACUUCUUCUCGGACACCAGUCACAAGUCUCACCUGUUGUUUCACUUCAUCAGCCGCAACAGAGAUCAGCUGCUCCAGGAGAGAGGAAACGAUCGCAUCAACCAUUCUGACAAAGAAGACGAGAAUUCUGAAGAGUUAUUAGAUGUGCUUUUGUUGCGAUGAUACUGAAAGAAAAGGAGUUAUUGCAUUCUUUUAUAAUGCAUAGAAAAAGUUUAUGCUUAUCCCCACCCCACACGUCAAUGAUUGUAGAAUGUUUAAUUUCCCUGAUUCUACUCCACUAGUUAUGAUGCGCAAUUAUAAAUAUUCUCAAAUUAUUUAUGAAAUAGCACAAAUUUGGAUCUAGUAAUGAUUUAUAUGAUUUCUGUGUGUUCACUUUUCCGUAAUCUUCUACUAUAAGGGUUCAGAUUUAAUUACUAAUUUAAAAAAUAAGCACAAAAUAAUAUCAAGCAUUAAUGUUAUUAGUAAUACUCAAAUUCACAAAGGAAUAAAUAACGAAAAGAAAAAAGAUUGGAAAAAUCUUAUUGGUAAAUUAGCACAUUGUUUUUUUAAUAAUCUCAAUAAAAUUAGUAAUACUCAUAUUAGUCCCUAAAACAUUAUUAUGUAUAAGUUAAAAAAUCUUAUUAGUCUCCAUGAUCAAUAUUUAUGGAAAUAUUUUUGGCCUAGGCUGAGAAAAAAAUUCCUAGUUUCAUCACUAGUUAACCUCAAGUAUACAUCCCAUAUACACACACACACACACAUUCCUUCUCGAGUGCGGGCGCCGUCAUUUUUUUUUUUUAUAUGAACACACUUUUAAGCCACAUGGCUUAAUAGAGUUAAUUUUUUAAUGUUAUUAAACCACGCGACUUUAUAGUAUAUUGAAAAUUAACUCUAUUAAGUCGUAUGAUUUAACAGAGUGUCUGCAUUAAAAAAAGAAAAAAGAAAGAGGUUACAUAAAUAUGCGGGAAAGGUCUAAGAAAACUUUAAAACCUCACGAUUUUAAAAUUUUCUCAGACUUUUCUGUACUUUAAAAUUUUGAAUUAAAAAAUGUAUAUAUAUAUAUAUAUAUAUAUAAAGAGUAAUGAUAUAGCCACAAACUCUUGUACAAAUUUAUUUUGUACAAACUGAUGUAGCGUUAAUUUAUUGGUUGAAUUAAAUAUCACUUGGCCCACAUAAUUUAUUUAUAUUAUUUUAUAUUUUCAUUCAACUAAUAAAUUAAUGGCACAUCAGAUUGUAUAAUAUAAGUUUGCACAGUAGUUUAUGACUGUAUCAUCACUCAUAUAUAAAUUCUCUCCCGCAUACAUCCACGCAAAAUAGAGUCCGAUUUUGACAUUUCACAGUCUAAGAAAAUAACUUUCACCGCUGUAAAACUAUCAACGAUGGCUUAAAACACUAUGCUUACAUGUUUCAUGUGGAAAUCUAUGGAGAGAUAACGACUGUAUAUAUAUAUAUAUAAACAUAUCUUAAUUUCUAAUAAGAUAUUAGCCAAUAUUUAAUCAACAUUUAUGCAAAGGGGUCCCCCCUCUUUAUUUGGAGGAAUUUGGCACCAGAUGAAAAAUUUAUGCUUAUCCCCAACCCAUACGUUAGUAAUUGUAGUAGCAUCUUUUAAUUUCCCUGAUUCUACACCACUAGCUGUCGUACAUAAUUAUAAAUAUUCUCAAAUUUGUCGCAUCUUUAAAGUAUGAACACUGGUUUUGUCCAUGUCACUUUUUCUAUCUUAUUGCAAUAUGAGGUAGACGAAUUCAGUUUCUUCAAGAUAUGGGAAACGAUCGCAUCGGCCAUUCUAAUAUUAGAUUAAAUGCUAAAUGUUACAAUUGUUUUUGUUGCGAAAAUGCUCAAAAGAAAGUAGCUUUUAUGAAUUCUGUGAGAAUGCUCAUUCAAGCAUUUUUUAAUUCUUCUUAUACUACGUGAAACAUUUAAUUUUUACCCUUGAGUCAAUGUCAAUGAGAAUGCUUUUGUGCUGGAAAUCAAAGGAGUCCCCAAAGGAGUCAUCGUCUGGGGCUAGCUUUCUGCACCACCACGUCAAUAAUUGUCUAGAUCUCCCCUGUUUCUCUGAUUCAUAAUAAUUGUGCAGACUACUUUUCAUCAGCAUUCGUAAAAGUUCUUACUUUUCUAAUUAGUAACAAAAUAUUUGUAAGCUACAACAUAAAACUUAUAGCAAUCUAUCGAUGAAUCUUCUGAAUUCAUAUUUAAUAAAUUCGAUAUAAUAUAGUCAUUAGUUUUUUAUUAUAAACAUCAGUAUAUUUUUUAUAAUAUAACAUAUAUUGAUGAAACUAUAUAAAGCAAUUUCGCCCUAUUAUACAAAUUCAUUAUGAAUUUCAUCACAAAUUUGUAUGCGAUCGGGACCGUGCAAGUGAGAUUUCAGAUAAAAUCAUCUCCUGACAAUUUAUUUAAUAUUAUACUUUUCAAUUUAGCUUUAACGUAUGGCCGACAACUUUUGUUAUCCGGUAGGCCAAAUCAGUAUCAUAAAGUAGUGAAUCUGUUUUAGUCUACAGUCAAUACAUAACUUCAUUAUGUUUGCAUGUCAUGAUAAAAUGAGAAUUGUUAAAUAUAAUUAAUAUUAGUAAUAAAAUUACUAUAAUAAUAAUUACUAUUAUUAAUAUAAUGAUUAUAAAUAAUAUCAAUAAUAAAAAUUUUAUUAUUAUCAAUACUACUAUUAUUAUUAUAAUAAUAAAAUAAAAUAGUACUAAUUAUUUUGAUAAUAGUAAUAGUAAUUAAUAAUAAUAAUGGCAAUAAUAAAAAUUAUCAUCAUCAUCAUCAAUAAAUUUUUCAUAAUAAUAAUAAUAUAUAAAGAAGGAAAAAAUAAGAAUUUUAAAAUUUGAGUGGGAGUAAUAUUGUUACCUCAGGGAAUGGGAUUCCCAUUUGCACCUCCUCUCAUAGGAAUGUGAACUCUAGUAAUCACUCCUUAUUUUAGUUUGGGCCCAUCACUUUGAUUCAAAUUCCUUCUCUCAUUCAAGCAAGUAAACAGAUCAUUAAUUUAAUUCCGAUUACCAAUAAAUAAACACAUUUAUUAUAGUGGUGUGGCCUUUUUUUCCUAUAUAAAGACAAAUGCAAAUUCAUCGGAGUCAUUUUCAAAGAAGAGUUUCUAUAAUUAAUUUUUUUUUAAACUAAGAAAAGAUAGCAUAUUGUAACGGACCACUCAAAUUUACCACUAAAGGAGGCCAAACUAGCCUGCCAAGGUGAGCUCAAUAAAGACUGCCCAAACACGAAGUAUGCUAAGUAGCAAGGUGCGCUCAAUCCAAAACCCAAGGUAACCAAGUCCAAUCCAAUUUUAGAAAUCUCUACAAUACAAUAGCAACUGUAAAUAUCUAAAUAAUUCUACAGUUGCGUACUCUAGAACUUACUAGAUAACUAGGCAAGUUACGCAAGUUGCAUAGAACUCUCUAGAUCUAGGCAAGCCUCCCUAUAAAUAGGGCAUGGCAUCCACCAUUUUGCACGACACCACACACCAAGCAUAAGUAGAUCAAGCAUACUUGUAAUGCUCUCUUGUAUUCUCUCUUUCAAGUAAUAAAAUUCGUUUUGGCUACAUUGCUCUCUUCUCUCCAGCUUUUUUGCAAUCAUCUUUUCUUAGCUAGUUUGAGAAGUUCGAUAGGUUUAAUUAGCAACUUUUGUGCUAGAAGUUAUUUAAGUGUCACAUGGAUUGCUGUGCAAAUUAUUUAUGCCGUGACAAUAUGUUAUGAUUAUUAUGAAUUUUCCACCACUUUAUAUAAAAUCCUCUAAUUUAUUUAAAUUGUGAGUCAUAGAAGUAUAUUACCCAAAUUGUUCUAUUAUCAUAUUAAUAUAAUAUUUUUGUGUUGACACUUGUAAACAAUUGAAAAGUUUUGUUUUACUAUAAAUUGGUAGCAUCUCUGCAUGUAAUAUCAUCUCAUUUUUCCUCAAACAAUAUUACUAGCAAGAGAAAGGAAUUAGAAUUCUCCAUCUCAAAGUUUAAGUUGUUGGUUAUCAACACUUUCUUCAUGUUCUUUGUAUAGAUACUUCCUAAUUAGAUUUGCAACAUGUUAUCAAGACAACUUUACUUUGAUUCAAGAAAGUACUUAAUUUCCUAUGCUCUCAUUUCAUAUGUUUAUUUAACAACUCUAUACUUAUACGUAUGUUUUGUAGUCAAUAUUGAUUUAGAGUUACAUCAAAUAAAAAAAAAAAAAAAGGUAAGUGAUCUUCUAUUCUUUUAUGUAGGGACAUCAAUGGUGUGAGGUGGGGGUGGAGAGGCCUACCUCAUUACCCACCCCAUUAAAAUUUUUACCUCUAUUCCUCAUCUCAUUUCCCAAUAAAAUUCAGUGGAGUGGGGAUGAAGAAUUCUCAUGUGAAGAAUGAUUUCUCUAUCCCUACCCUAUUAUCUAUUUACUUAUUUUAUAAUAGGCAUAGAUAAAUGAUUUCAGUAAAUUAAAUAUUAGAAACUUAAAUAAAUUCAUUAUCAUAUUACAAAUUAUUUAAAUUGUUUUAAAAAAUCUCCAAAAGGUUGAAAUAAUAUCUUGAACUAAUAGUAAAAUUAAAAAAAAUGUUUGAAGAGAAUAGUAUCUUAAGAGGAAAAAGAAAACAUAAGAAUGCUUUAGGGUUAAAUAAGUAUUAUAAUGUAGGUUUUUCUUUUAGUUAUAACUUAUUUAUAUUAGGUAAAUAAAAAGAAAAUUUAUUAACCAACAUUUUAAUUGAUAAAAUAAAAUUAUUGAAUAAAAACUAAAAAAAUAUUCAUUUAUAAUAGGAAUUGGGGUGGGGAUGGGGUAGGAAGUACAAAACCAACCCCACCCCAUUAAGAAUUUGAGAAUUAUUUUUUCCUCAUUCUCUACCCAUUCUUAAAAAAUUAUUUAAAAUUCACCUCAUUUAAGGUGGAGUCUAUCCUAUCAGUACUUUCAUGGCACGAAAUUAUUAUGCUCAGUGAUGAUUAUUGAUUUGUCUAAUUUUAGAUGAGUUAUUAUUUUGGAGAUCAGUGCUUUUGCUGCUAUGCUGAAAGAAAAGGAGCUAGAUUAUUCUUCUUUAUACUGCAUGAUAAAAUAUUUACUAAUAGUCGAUAUUCUAUCAACAAUUAUGCAAAGGAGUCCCUACUGAAAAGCUGAAUUUAGAAUUCAAUGAAAGUUUUAAUCAUUGUAGCAUCUUUAAUUUUCCUGUUUCGACUUCAAACUUUGUGUUACAUAUUUGUUAACUAUAAUAUUCUCAAAUAAAUUUGCAGUGGUCGGGCCCGUGCCAGUCAAAAACAGAAAAAAUAAAACAAAAGUUGAAAAAUCAUGCAGCCGACCACUACAAAUUAAUUUUAAAAAAAGUAGUGGAAUAUUAGGUAGGCGAAUGCGGUUCAUCGUUCAUAGGUCAUUUAAGAAAGUAAUCUCUCCCUAAUUAAUUCUUUUCUUUUAUCUAAUCAAGAAAAGGUAGCAUAUUGUUUUUUUUUUUUUGAUUUGCAAUUCUUUAAAACAAAAAAAAAACAUGAAUGAUUGAUCGAUAAUAUUAAUUUUCUAAGUUAUUUUAAUUAUUAAAAAAAUAUUACAUAUUUUAUUUAUAAUAUUAUAUUCAUAUUUAUUAUAGAACUUUAUUUUAGGUAAAUUUUAGUUGUUGUGUUUGAAUGAAUAGAAACUUAUUUAAUUCUUAUAUUUUAAGUUAUAUUCACGUUUAAUCUUUAUAUUUAAAAAAAAAUAUGAUAGGACUCCCCUAAUGUUAAUAUCUUACACUCUCCUGUUCUUACCUUUUAUUUCCUUUUUAUAUAAAUAUGAUGUGGUAUUAUUAAAUAACAUAAUAAAAUUGAAAAUAACUAAAAAUACAUAAUACGAAUUUACACUUAUUUAUUAAUUAUUAUAGAUAUAAAAAUAAAAUAAAAGGUAGAAUAUAAUAUAAAUAGUAUUGUAAUAUAUUAUAAUUUUAUUAAAUUAUUAGUUCGAUUUUAUAUUAAUUAUCAAUAGCUUUUGCUCAUUUAUAUAGCAAAAGCUAAUGCGUCAAAUUGCGCAGUGCACUAACUCCAGCUCCCCCGGGUUUGUGUAAUGCACCAAAAUUUAUAAUGCGGGCAUUAUAGACAGCUCCACAACGAAACUUCGAAAUUUGCCAAACAUGGGUCGGUAACAAGUUUUGAAGCCCCAAAAAUUCAAUAAACAGUACCUCAGUGCUUGAAGCUCUAAGUUACCAAAAAUGAAAUCAAUUUUUAAGUCAUUGUUGUUGCAAAACAAAAGUGUAAAGGGAAAGUUGACGAGUGUUUCUUAAACACUACUAAUUGUCAAGUUAAAACUGUUUGGUAUGCUAUUUAGAACUUAUGCUUUAGUAAAUAGUUGUGGGCAAUAAUCGGUUACCUUGCCAAAACCAAAUUGCAAUUAUUUACUAAAACACUUAUCUUUGGCAGCAGAGUGACCAAAAAGCUCAUACAAACAGAGCCUCAAUCCAGCUGGGUUAAGGGUUCCAAUGAAAAGUAAAUUUUCUCUAACAGACACACUUUUCCGAAAACUAAGAUUUAUUCUGAAGAAAUCUCAAAAGAUUUAUUCUAGAUAAUGUAAAGCCGUAAAUGUGACACAGGCGUGUUUUAGAUUUACUCCAAGAGACAAGUACAAUCCAAGAUUAUCACUCCAAUUGUUUCAAUUGAUUGUAUUUUUCUAGACAUAAUUAAAUUACGUAUAAAAUAUAUAUUGUUAGAAAGGUGAAUAUGUCUAGUUUUUGAAGAAUUUUAUGGAAUUAAAUUCAAACUUCUGUUCUUAAAGAAAUUCACGACUUUGUCAAUGAAGGUCACAACUGUUAGGAAUUCUACACAUAGCAAAAAAGUUUUGAAUUUACUGGCAUUAAUGCAUCAAGAUCUAAUUAAGAAGCUUCAAAUCAGUGAAAAGCUUUUGAGUCAAGAGUUCAAUGAAUUUUACAUGUUUGAUUUGGAGUUUUCUACAUCAAGAUAUGAUUAAACGAGUGUUGACUGCUUACACUUGCGGUUGAAACUGACCUUGAUGUCAAAUUGUAUUUUUCUUUGUUUUCUUUCACCUCAUGAUAGCUAAGACCUGUUAUUCUAAUUUGAUUUGAAUUCUAAAUGAUAGAGAUCUUAUCCUAAGCUCGGAGGGAUGUUCCAAGUUGUCUAUACAAAAAAGUAUUACAUUGUAACUUUACAAAACAGGGUGAUUAUGAGAAUGUAACUUAGAAGAGUGUUCUUGUUAGGGUUUCUUCAUGCAACUCUAUAUCUCUUGGUUCGAUUCCUUAGAGUGGUGAGUUGAGAAGUGCGGUAUCUCUUGUAGGAUAUCAUUAGAUGGUGAAUAUCUAUAUCCUUUUGUAAUCCUCUUAAAUGGUGAGCUUUGGUAAGUUAGAGAGCCUUGUAUCUCUUGUAAGACAUCAUUGGGUGGUGAAUAUCCCAUUGUAAUGAGCUUUGCUCUUGCCUUAUCUACGUGUGUGUUUUACAUAAUAAUGAAGUUCAGUUUAUAAUUAGGCCAACAUCAAAAUGGCAUUAGAUGUUUGUUGUAUUCUUCGCUUUCCUUUGAGACAGUCCAAAAUUUGCUAAAGUUUUCACAACAAAAGUAUGAUGUGAUGUCCUUUAUAUGUUUUUGUUAGAAAGGAAACAGAAAAAAUGCAUUUAGCAUUGUCAAAGCAAGGAUAGAACAACGCAAAUUUUUUUGACAAAUAGAGCACCAUUUGAUUUGGAAGAAAAGUUGGAAUAAUAAACAAGCAGAGAUCAAAACUGAAAUCAACCCAAAAUCGAAGAAGAAAGGUGGAAAGGAUAACAAUGCAUUGGACAUUUGAAGAUACAUAGUCUGAAUGUCAGACUGAGUAUAAGUAACCUCCUAACCGAACUAAUGUUAUCAAUUGGUCAAUUUUAUUCUCUGUAGGUCCAUGUUUGAACAUAGGGAAGCUAAAUGCCCUUUUAACAAUACCUUCUUUAAUUCUGCCUGGAAAUUGUGAUAGGACUUUAGGCUAAAUUAGGGCUGACUUUUAUUGAUUAGAUAAAAAGAAAGAACAAUCCUGACCUACCUCUCCCAAAACUCCUAAUUAUUCCUACCACUAGACAAAACUCAACAUAAAUCCUAAAUGACUCCUUAAUCUCUUAUUUAUACCCGAGCCAAAAUUAACAAUAAAUAAAAUUACUAAACUGGUCCUAUCCCUAAAAUUACUAAGUUUUUCUCACCUUUUAUAUUUGCGGCUAACAUAAGUUUAAUUGGUUUAACAUUACUCCUCUCUUAAAAAUACACCUCGUCUUCAAGAUGAAAUCAAGGAAACUGUUGUUUUUUUCUUCCUUGGCUUCUUCCCUACCUUCCUUCUCAUCACAUGUAGUUAGGACUUGUAGUGAUUUAUCCUUACAUCAAUGACUCGAUGAAAAUUUCUCAUCGCAUCGAAAAAACAACCUCAUUGUCCUCUUAUCUUGAAUCUUUGUCUCUGUGAGGCAUUUGAAAGUCACCCCUAGUCGUGCCCAACUAACCUGAUCCCUUUAGGAAUCUCUUUAUAACCCCAUCAUUUGCAUUUUUUAGCCUUCUAAUGGUGUGCUUUGGAACUUUGGCUAAAACUCCAAAGUUUGGGUUUUCUGUCCUAUCAAUGGUGUGCUUUUUUAGUAUGAAAAACAGACUAAACUGCUCAUAUUACCCCAUUCUAUUGUGUUCUUAUCAUUAAUCAUUUGUGCCAGCUCCAUUGACUCCUCUAACCCUCUCUACCCUAACAGGUGUAGUGAGCUCAUAUUUCUGGCUUCAGUUCCUUCAUAAAAUUCCCUUCCAAUACUGCCUCUUGGAUUCCCCCAAAUACCCUGAUAGCAACUCAAACUUCUCCCUAUACUCCAUGAUUGGUCUUUCCUAGGUCAGAGCAAAAAACUAUUCAUACAAAUCUCCCUUUUGAGUGGCCUGAAGCUUUUCUAAUAGCCGGUCAUUGAAUUCACCCUAUAAAUCAAUGGUUGUCAUUGUUCUCGCCAUUGAAACCAUGCAAGGGCUUUUCUCUCCAAUCAUAACGCGGCCGCCGUCAGCUUUUUCCUUUUUAAGACUCCAUUGAUGGCGAAAGAGUGCUCUAUCUUAUACAUCCAUCCAUAGGCAUCCUCGCCUUCAAAAAUAGGCAUUAUCAGUUUCCUUACCCUAAAAUCUAUCCCAAAUUGAGUCUGUCCUGCCCGAUUUCGCACUAUUAGAGGCCUCUAACCUCUCGAAUCUACUUCAAUUUCACAAAUCCUCCUUGUCUAGCCCCAUAUUAGGCUGAAAUCCCUUGCCCAAUUGUUUUAUGGUAAAAACCGCUUUCUCUCACAUUGAAAACCCCUCUUCCCGCCCAUCCGGCCUUAAAUCCGAACUAUCCAGACCCAAAAUCGCCAUGCCUUGGCCCAAAGCAACCAUACCUGAUCUGUCCAGGCCCAAAAUAGCCUUGCCCAAGCUAUGCAUCACCCGCAAAUACCAUUGAGUCCUCAAGCCCGACCAUCUUCGACUCUUGUGCACCUUAUUCUGGUGCCAAAACACUGAUUCUUAACUUUUAGCCACCUCUUCCAGCCGUGUAACCCUUGAAUUCACUAAUCUAGCCACCUCUUUCAGCCACCUCUUUGAGCCACGUAACCCUCAGAUCCAUUACCCCUAGCUACGACCCAGCUUCUUUUGCCACCUCUGACACCGGAAAAGGCUCCUCCAAGGCGCAAUUCCCUUGGGCCGACCUCCUCGCCUCCAAAUUCGCUGUGACCUGUCCCCCCUGGCUGUGCUAGACUGGUGGUUUUUCAGUCCUCUGCCCUUUGUGCUGCCAUCAACUAUGGGUUCUGUACCACCAAAUCUUUCUGCCGUGACACUGUUGUGGCCCGUCGAUGUUGCCAGUGGUGGGUUAAGGUGGAGUUCCGUCAAUUUCAGCAACAUGGCUUCAAGGGGUGAAAAUUGUUGUUGAACGAUGUUAAAUCGCUCAUCAAUGGUGGCCUUGAGUGAUCCAACCUUUGCUUCCAAUUUCUCUUCAAGCGCGUCCACCUUCUUUGCUGCCAUUGUCCCUGGAUUUUUGCUCUAAUACCACUUUGAUAGGACUUAAGGCUACAUUAGGGCUAACUUUUAUUGAUUGAAUCAAAAGAAAGAACAAUCAUAGCCUACAAUUCGAGAGGUAGGUCAAUCUCUCGCAAAAUUUAUAAAAAAGGAAAAAACAAUUUCCCUCUCUUCUACUUUCUUCAUCUUCUUCGUUCUAUUCCCUGUUCAUCUUCUUCUUCGUUCAUUUUUUUCUUCUCUUUCACACACUUAACAAAUCCACAACCACUGUUAAUUUCAAAUCAACCCAGCAAAACCCAUGUCUAUUGCCAGGCAAAAGCCAUGGCCUCGCACUGCCAUGUCUAGCAAAACCCAUGGCUACGCUAGCAAAAUCAUGGCAGCUGGGCACGGGCAUUCCAAGCAAGCCCAUGGAUGCAUGUAGCCAUGCCAAGCAAACCCAUGGCUGUGCGCGGCCAAUCCAAGUGAGCCCAUAGCUACGCGUUGCGACCAUUCCAAGCAAUCCCAUAGCCAUCAACAACCAUUCCAAGUAAGCCCAUAGACGUGCGUAGCCAUGCCAAGCACACAUUGAUCCAAGCAAAUGGUUGUUAAUGUUGAGAGAUAAACCACAAAUCUAAGGUUGUGACUAUGUUCGACAUGUCGGUUAUUCAAUCUGGUAAUAGAUGAUUUGUCGGUUAUCUCUAGUAAGGAAGCCAUAUGACAAAGUUGUUCCGUCAGUUGAGUGAAUAAGUUGAGCAGGUGAUUGCAACACGUGCAUUACUUACUUAAAACGGUAGAUGAAGACAGCGUUUUUGAGGUGAUUGCAACACGUGUCCAAAAGUUAGUUUAAAUGGCUAGUAAAAGUUGUUGAAAGGCGCGAGAAAUUUCUAGGUUUGUUGCUAACAAACCCAGUAACGUUGAGCUGGCUUCUGGGAGUAUUUCUAAAAGCAAUUUCGUGUUGUAUGAAGCCUUGUGAGUUGUUAUAUGGGAUUAAUCCAGAGGGUGACAAUUUCUCAGCUUCUUUUGUAUCUUGUAAAGGCCAGAUUAGUAAAAAAGCUUGCUUUCCUUUUCACAAUGGAUGUAGGUCACUUGUGUGGCUAAACCACUAUAAUCCUUUUGAGUCCUUGUGUGUGUGUUUUUAGUUCUUUAUCUGAUUCGAUCUCUGAUUGUUUCAGUAUCUGUGUCUUCAUCAAGAUUGUGUUGAUUAUUAGCCAUUCUUAGGUCAAAGAGAUUUUGAGUGGAUCUUAGGGGAUCAAGAUCGGUUUCUUGCUGGUUUUGGUCCAGCAGUUAAUAUUUUUCAUGAUUAGUCUGGUUUUGGGGUUCACUAAUGAAUUUGGGAAGAAGCUAAGAUUUGUUGAAAAGGAGAUGAUGGGCCAAGACUUGGAAUAGUGGCGUUGCUGCACCAUCGCGCAACUCCAAACUUCACUGCAAGUUGCUGGCAUGGCUAUUGUGGCCUUAUGAUGCUUGGCGAGAUGAAGCGUGGAGAACAUGUAGAAAACGGUAAGAAAUUAAAAAAAAAAAAGGGAAAAUGAACUGAACAAGAUAAAGAAAUUAACCAGAAAAUAAAAAAAAGUUUAAAAAAAAAUUAUUUUUCUUAUUUUAAAAAGAAAUAAUUUUUUAUGCUUUUGCAGUUAAAAAAUUAACUAAUUAAAAAAUAAAAAUUUUAAAUUUGGGUACAAAGCGAAUUUUAUUGAAAUGUUUGAGUGUGCAUUGAAAUUUGUUGAAACAUUUGGGCCAAAUGGUUCUUAAGAAAGAGAACCGAAUGUGAAAUGAAUUUUGUAAUCGAAUCAAAAUAUUUCAAUUUGGUUCGAUUCGGUUCAAUUCUUAAGUUUAGUUCAGGUUCAAUUCUUAUUAUGCCAAUUUGGAAAACACUUCUAAGAAACAGAAACAAAAAUAGAAACAUCAUGAGAAUUCAAAAGGAAAGAAACUGAGAGAAAAGAAACGAAACUCCAUUGAGCCAAAGAACAUGAGGCGGGGGUCUAUGUGUAUAGAGAGAAUUCAAUCACACAAGAACAAGAAACAAAAGUGGAGACAUCAUGAGAAUUCAAUCACCGUGAGAUUGCGAGGGAGAGACCAAGAGAGCUUGUGUGCUGCUGCCGACCUUGAGAGAGAUGGCUGCCGAUUUAGGGUUAUCAAACAUUUAAGAUUAGGAAUUAAAAAAUGAAAAAAAAAAUUAUUUUAGGUAUUUAUAUUUUAAAAUAAAUAUAUUUUUUAAUUAAGUUGAAGCGAACUGAUCAGUUUGUCAGUUCAAACUAAACCGAAUACAAACCAAUUGGUUCGUUUGUUUUCAAACCAUUCGAUUUCUAACUUCUAAACCGAACCGUUGCCCGCCCCUACAUUUGGGUUUUGUGGAAAUUGCCUUAAAUGUUUUGACUUCUUAUCCAUGAGUUGACUCUUAAGAGAAUGUACAAAUAUAAUUUUAUGCUUUCAGUAGUUAAAUUUAAUGGGAAGAAAACAGUAUUUGGAGAUAAGUUGAAAUUUUUAUACUUUUAGGGGGUAAAUUGAAGUUUGUCGAUCUAAUAAGGGAUAGAAUACAAUUUACCCUUAUUUUUUACUCUAAAAUAACAAAUUAUUACUUAACUAAACAUAUUUCACUAAUGCUCCUUAUUUCCUACCAAACGGUGGGACUUGGCCUUGUGUCCAAAAUUCAUAAUAGCUAACACAUUAACAAAAAUUAAAAAUACUAGGUUACAAAAUACAAAUCCGAAUUUUGUGUGUGAGGGAAUUUAAAAAUGGAGAGACUAAAAAAAUGUGGUGACAAAUGACAUUUAUUACCAAAAUUGAAAAUACAAAGUUUAGGCAACUGAAAGCAUCUCUUCAAUUGCAUUCAACCAAUUACCACCAUCCAUAAUUAACCAAAAUCAAAUAAAUUAAAAAAAAAACACAAAAAAAUCACAACACUUUGAUCAUCCCUGCUUCUUUUUCUUAGCAUAGCUCUUGGAAUAAAAAUUAACAAAAAGUGCCAAAAGGGACGCAUUAAACACAGCGUUGAAACGCCAUCCCCAAAUCCCAGAGCAACCAAAACCCGUGAAAUGAUAAUACAGCAUCAAAACUGAAACAACAAAACCAAACACAAACUGAACAAUCUGACAAUCAGUGACCAAUCUCUUCCACUUUGGCCGCAACCCCAUCACACACAAUAGAUAGUACCCGUACAUGAUCACAUGCACACUUGCAUUGGUGACAAUUGCAAUAGGAAACAAAGACUGCUUCGUCUGUAACCAAAGGAAGCACAUUACAACGACGGUUGCAUGGUGGUAGACGUGGAGGAACGUGAGCCGUUGGAUGGAGUUUGACAAAAUAAUCAAAAGGGUGUCAAAGAAUUCGAGUAUUUUGGAGAGGUAGAAGAUGUAAGCGUAGAAGAAGAGAGGGCCAGACGGAGAAAUGGUAGGGGGGAAACAGAGGGUGUAACGGAGGUGGGGUAAAUGGAGGAUGAUGGAGAGAGUGCAACCAACGGCCAUGAUGAGGGAGAGGAUGAGGAGGGUGAGGUUAUGGACGGCUAUGAUGGGCUUGAGGAUGUGGGGUCCAAUGAGAGGUGAUGAUGGUGGUGAUGUUGAUGUCGAUGCGUGGUAGAGGAUGAAUGUGAGGGAGAGGUAAGUGAGGAUGGAGAGAAUGAGGAAGUGUGGGGAGGAAGCUAGUGUUUGGUUCGGAGUCCAUGUGAAGUUGAGGAUUUGGGGGUGGUUUACAAGCCAAUAUUGGAGUGUUGAGGUAAUUGAAUAUGAAGCCAUGGCUGGUUUUUGGGGGGAAGAAAGAUUUGGAAGAGAUGAUGUUGAGAGGAACGGGGGAGUUUAUAAAGUUUUGGGAUAAUGUGGAGGGUAUUUUGGACAUAUUGUUGUCUUAGCUUAAAUUUUGGGAAAAAGAUAGUCAAUAAUAAACUCUUUUUUCAUAUCAAUAUAUAACUCCGAGUGUGUUUCCAAAACUUGUUUUCCUUUUUCCAUUUUAGAUUUUAAAUCGUAAAUUUAGUAAAGGAAGUUAAAUCAAGUGAUCACUCUUUUCUUUUCUUUUCUUUUCUUUUUUUCAUGUAAAGCAAUUAAUCUUUUUUGUGAUUUAAGCAAAUAUUGAGUUGCGUACUUUAACGAUAUUAAUAUUUGAUUCGAAAUUUUGUCUACCGAAACUACAAAAAUUAAUAUUUUCUAUUAAAUCAAAACUAAAAUUAAAAGAUGAUUCAUUGUCUGCCAACUGUCAUUAAACGAAGCCAUCACUCACACAAAAAAAAAGUGAUAUAUUCAUUUUAAUGUAAUUUCAUACCAACAUGUCAUUCUUUUCUUUCAAACAAUGACCUCUUUAAUUAUAAAAUAUGGUAAAAGAGUAAAAAUACAGUAAUACAGCCACACACUCUUAUACAAAUUUAUGUGGCAUCAAUUCAUUGGUUAAAUUAAAUAUCUCUUGGUCCACAUGAUUUACUUUCAUUAUUUUGUAUUUUCAUUCAACCAAUGAAUUGAUGUCACAUUAGUUUGUACAAAAUAAGAUUGUAUAAGAGUUUGUGACUAUAUCAUCACUCAUGGUAAAAAGGGAUGGGUUCGAGGUAUGGCGUCCAGGCCUUUGUGACAACUGGCAUCUUUGGACGUGGGUGUCAUUAGAUUUUUUGCUAUUAUCAUAUCAUCAAUUUUUUUGGCUAUUUCUGCUCAAUCAAACUUGUGGAUUACAUGCACUCAACGUCGACAAUGGAAAUGGGAGAAAAUUAAGUUAAUAAAAUCAAGUAAGUCAAACAAGGUCCAGAAUAUACAAUUGCGUUUAGUGGCAGGAGGGUACGUAAAUACAUGGGAAAGAACUAUUUUUAGUCCAAUUUCAUGUUUGGAUGUUGAGGUUGAUGUGGAAAGGAUGUGGCUUCCCACAUAAAACCCGCCGUUUCGUUCUAAACUAAGUGAAUUUAUCUGGUGAGCUAAGUUGGUUUAGGACGUAACUCAAAUAAUUAAUUUUUUAUUAGUUUAGUAAUAAAAAUUUUGGAUUUUAUUUUAAAACUAUAAUUCAACAGAAAAAAAACUUAAUAAAAAUAACUGUUAUUUAACAUAUUAUAUUUUUUCAAUAAUAAAAUAAUUCAAAAUUUUAAUUAUUAUAACAAUAAAAUUUGUAAUAUAAUCCAUUCAUAUACUAGAUCACAUAAAAUAUAAAACAAGACCAAAUAUAAUCCUAUUACAUCUAAUCAUAUAAUAUUCUAUCACAUCAUAUACUAUCAUAUUCCAUCCGGCAUGCCAAACGUGCAAAGUUUGAGUCAGUUUUGUUAAAGUUGAGUAACAUCUCAUAUGGAAAGGAUGUGGCUCCCACAUAAAAAUAACCCACCGUUUCAUCCUACACUAAGUGAAUUUAUCUCGUGAAAUAAGUAGUUUAGGAGAUGACUCAAAUAAUUAAUUUUUUAUUAGUUUAAUAAUAAGAAUUUACAAUUAUAUUUUAAAUCAUUAAAAAAUACUUAAUAAAAAUAAUUGUUAUUUAAGAUAUUACAUUUUUACAAUAAUAAAAUAAUUCAAAAUUUUUUUAUUACAAUAAAAUUUGUAAUAUAAUUGAAUCAUACACUACGUCACAUAAAAUACAAAAUAGUACUAAAUGUAAUCCGUUUCGUUCUAAACAAAGUGAAUUUAUCUCGUGAGCUAAGUAGUUUAGGAGAUAACUCAAAUAACUAAUUUCUUAUUAGUUUAGUAAUAAGAAUUUUCGAUUAUAUUUUAAAAAGUAUAAUUCAUUGCAACAAAAAUACUUAAUAAAAAUAACUGUUAUUUAAGAUAUUAAAUUUUUACAAUAAUAAAAUAAUUCAAAUUUUUAAUUAGUAUAACACUAAAAGUUGUAAUAUAAUGCGUUCUACAUCACGUAAAAUAUAAACUAGUACUAAUUAUAAUCUUGUUACAACCAUUCCUAUUAUAUUCUAUCACAUCAUAUGCUAUCAUAUUUCAUCCAGCGUGUCAAACGUGCAAAGUUUAAGUAAGAUUUGUUAAAGUUGAGUAACAUCUCAUAUGGUCAAGCGCGUGGAGUAUGGACUUACAUAAUCGAGUGGGUACAACUAAAGUCGGGUAAAGUUUGGUAAAUCUUUAUAUAUAUUGUUGGGUUGGACAACUAUAUCUUUUAAGUCAUAUAAUUAAAUAGUUUUGGUAAACAUUUACUAUUGUGACUUAAAAAUUAAUUUGAUUUGAUCUCAUACUUUAUUAUAAAAAAAAACUUAUAAUAUCUUUAUUAUUUUUAUUAAAAUUAUUAUUUAAAAGUCAUACAUUUAUUACACAUUGUCAUUUUUUUUUUCACAACAACUAGUAAUAUCGAAUAAGAACUAAGUUGAGUAUGAUCAAAUAAUUUAAGUUUUGAUUUUUAUUGUACAAAAUAAUCAUUAGAACCAACAAAGUGUUGGCUCCACUGGCAAUGGAGUCCCCUUAAGUGGCUUGACUGUGUUUGCUCCCCAGUUCGAGUCGCAGGGAAGUCACCUUUGUUGGGAGAACCUGUGCCUCUCGGUUCGAGCGAGGACUUCUAGUCUGGGUUGUGGUACGGGCUUAAAGGUGCCUCCCACAGUUGGAGCCCUCCCCAGGAUACCUCGUGGUCAAAACCAAAAAAAAACAAAAUAAUCAUUAGAUAAUUAGUCUGUAAAGAAUAUCAGCUACUUCAAAUGGAAAUUUGUGAUCAAAAGUGUACCACAGAAGUGACAAAGACACUAUAUGAGAAAUCUGAAAUAGAAUUUAAUAUCUUAGAAUAUACGACGUUGCAUCACAUAUGGUAUUUAGGCAUCAAGAAAAGAAUCCCUCUAUCUAUGAACCACACUUGCCAGGAAAUUAACACCAGGGGAAUACCACCACCUCAUACUAUUUCUUAGGUGUCUCAGAGUUUGAUGAGGACUUCCAUGCUGUGUCUCUUCGACAGGCAGCAAAAUUGGGCAAUUGACUACAUCAACUCCAACAAAUUUAUGCAGACACCUUCCUCCAGACCAUCCUGUUUCUUCGCGCUUUAGUUGCCCCUAUUUCCCAUUAUCUUGUUUGACGCCAAGGAGCCCAAGCCCAGAAACAAUGGCAUUCUUUGGUAUCAACCACUUGGAGACUUUGGUAUCAAUCCUGUUGUGCAAGGCUUCUUCAAAAGGUCAUCCGUUGAUCUUUCUCCUAAUUAGACAUUCAAAACCCUGCAUGGAAUCCAUUUGAGAAGUUGGACAAUAGACAAACUCCAACACAUAUAGACAGUAAAGAAGAAUUCAGACCGCACUCACUGUAGCUGAACAAAUGGGCCUAUUAAGCCUAUUAAAAGUUGGAACCAUAUUCACCACUCGCAUUUCCUUAGAGAACUAUAUCAGAAUUCUGUAAAUUGAAAACUAUUCUUACAUAUUUAACUGUAAAACAAGAGAAAUUAUACUUCCGUAGCAAAGUCUCACUAUUGGUAAGUAUCUGGACUUGGAAAGGAUGCUAGUUGAUCAAGUAAAGGAAAAUUGACAUCAGACUUUGAUGUGAUAGAUAUAUACACUUCAAUAGGAACCACAUUAACAACUUAUGAGACAAACAAACAAAUUCCCCAGUCAAAGUUCAACAAACAAAACACUAAAACAAGAGUAAUUUGGUCCAUCAAUGUAUAUAUAGAGAUGUCGCUGAUUAGACAAAUACGUAAAAGAAGAGGGAAUGACCUCAAAUACGUAAACAGAACAAUCUUCUAAGUUUACUCUAUUUAUAACGAAUAAGUGAACAAAGGAAUGAAAAGGAUGUUUGGCGAAGAAUCUUGCAUCUUAUCAAGUGGGGAAAGCCUUCGCAACAAAGAUGCUGCUUGCUUUCAAGCAAUAAUAAUUUUCCAAUUCCAUAAGGUAGCUUAAUGCCUUUUAAGAAUAUCUGCACCAGCCUAACAAUUAAUCAUGGAAAUUCAAUUUGCAUUUAUCACCUUUAAUUUGCUCAUCUUUGUCUCGAGUAUUGUUUUUGCGUUAACUUAACUAGCUUGCAAACCACCUGCAAAUGGUUUUAAAUAAUGUGUGAGAUUGUGAGGUCGAACGAAUUAAUCAAAUAUGAUGACAGGAGAAACAAAAUUGAAAUAACCACAAGUAGAAGUAUACUUUUGUUAUAUUUAUAGCAUCUUCUACUGUCUUCUUUUCCUUUAGUAGCUCUGUUUCUGUGUGUGCUCAAUCGCGAUGCCUCAAUCUUUUGCAGCCAUAUGCAGACUUGAAACACCGGGGUGUCCCUAAGGAACUUGAAAAUUAGAAAAGUUUCAGUAUGAGUGACUAAAUAUGAUAAUCGAAACUAAUUUAAUAUACACACCUUGUAAAUCUGAAACUAAAUUACUCUGAAUGUAUAUGCCUCUUGGCAGCAAUUGCUCGUGGUGGAAAGUUUACUGCAAAGACUUCCUCAAACCUCUGAAGCUCACACUCUUCCUGGCAACAAAGAAACAGAGUCAAUAUACGAAGAUGAUUUUACUAACAAGUGAGAGCUUGCAAAUAUUGGAAGGAUAACGAUUACUCAUAACCCAAAUCCCCAAUACCUUCUAAUUUCUCACUCACGUGAGUUCAAGCUCCCAAAAUUCAUUACAGUGAAACUCUCACAACAAAAUUCUCUUCAAAGAUUCUCUACUGAAAUUUGAUGAUGAUAUCUAGCACUGAUCAAAUUGGCUUGUGAACAAUUAAGCUGCUUAGUAUCCUUAACCUGAUAAACUUACACAAACAAAAACAACUUGCCUAAAGUUUAAUAUUUAGAGGCAGAACAAUAAAGAAGAAGAUAUAUAUUGAUACUAAAAUUUGACCUGUAUUACCCUGAUGUCAAGCAUCACUGCAUCUCAUGUGGGUAAAAUCUUCACAAUACGAGAUGCUUGCAAAAUUGAAGCAGCAUCUUAUCACCUGUAAUUUAAUUAAGACAGUAACUUUCCCCAACUAUUUUAAUGCAUUAUUGGCAACUAAAUUCAGCGGGCGCUAAUUAAAUACCCUUUUAACAAUAUCUUCUUAUUCUUCUCCAAUCUAACAGUUAUUUGGAAAAUCUAAAUGAUAGUCAUGCAUCAAUGGCGUCAAAGUUUGGCUACAAAGCAGCCUGGAAAAGGCUUUACUCUCUGAGUGAGAGCAUGAAUUUGAAAAAUAUGAUGAAUGAAGAAACAAAGGCAUAAUACCACAAGAAGUCAAACUUUUCCCCAGAGCUCUGUUUCUGUUUGUGCUAAAGCCAAUGGAAACCGAAGGAAAUGAAUUUCUACGAAUUAGACAUAUCAGCCAAACAAGUACUCUAUACAAGCAAAGUAAAAGAGAGUUAAAAAAAUUUUAAGAUUGAUAUGAUAAUUAAAAUUUCAGUCACCAUAUAAUUAAUAGAAAACUUUGUACACAAUGAUUUAUGGCGUAAUAAGACUGCAUAUCUAAAUUUUAAUUGCGAUACAAAAUAUGAUAUUAGCAUUAGGAGACCGCACCAAAACGUACCGUAUUGAAUGUGCCUUUUCACAACCAUUGUACAAGCUUUGAAGCUUUGGCACAAAUGCUUUUUCAAACCCAUGAACAUGAUGCACCCGAGAGAUGCAAGAUAUGAAAUUGUUACUACAGCAGGGAUUGAAACAUUUGUUAAGAAAGGAAGUUUAUGAAAAUACGCUUAACAUUCAUUAGAUAAAUGCCUUCAGGAAUCAAUUCAUCUGUAGUAACAAUUUUCAAAGAGCAUCAACUGCUUUAAGUCCCUCAACAUCACAGACAUCUUCAAUUAAAAUAGCGCAGAUCCGGCCAUCACUAUUCCUUCUACUGCUCUUUUGCUUUAGAGAACGCUUCAAUUACAAAAUGCGUGUAAGGCUUUCUUGUUCAAGGUCCAGCGAUCAAACCUUGCACAAUAACAACAGAGGUAGUAGUUCCAUCGCCAGCCUAAUCCUUGGACUUCCCAACAUUCUCCACGAGUAGGAAAUCAACCUAAAAAAUAAGAAUGAGUUUGAAAAACAGUUUAUGGCCCUAAAGAACUUGAAAAUCAGAAAUGAUUAAGAAUGAGUGACUAAACAUUUUAAUCGACUAAACAUACAAAACUUGAAAACCCAAUAUUGAAGUACUCUGAAUGAAUGUGCAAUUGCACGAGCUGGUGACAACUGACUUUACUGCAAAGGCUCUUUCAAACCCUUGGAGAUGAUAACCUGAUAACACAAAGAAACACAAUGAAUAUUAAAGGAUAUUCUGACAACGCAAAUUUGUGCAAACUAUGAAGUGUGGUUACCUGCAUAAUGGUGUCAACACCAAAUUCCUGCCUCCAUUGACGCAUAUGAUAAUAUUAGCACAAUUCAAUAUGUUUAUAUAGGAUAAAUGAUUCUGAGAAUGAAGCAAGAUAGAAAUGAUGAUCUUAAUUGAAACAGAGCGAACCCGGCCAUCACUUCCUUCUUCAAAGUCCAGCAACCAAACGUUGCACAAUAACCACAGUGAUAAUCCUUGGUUACCCCAAUGUUCUCCAUAGAGUCUUCAACGUCAACUUAAAAAUGAAAUGAAAAUGCAAUGCAGGUGGAAAUGAAAAUUCUAUAAACAAAAUAAAAAAAAAAAAUGCAAUGCUUGACCUUGAGCUUGCUUUAAUAAUCAUAAUAAUCGAAUUUGGAUAUAUCUUUACUUCCCUGUGGUUCAAUCAUUUACUUCUCUGUUCUUGUUUAUUCACAACAAGAUAUCAAUAGAAGAAGAUGGAAAUGAAAUUCUACAAAAUAAAGCAAGUGAAUUACCAGCAGAACAUUUUAGCAAUCCUUUGGCUAAACUUUUCAUUUUCUUAGCAAACUCUCCUGCCUGCAUCAUUAAAACCAAAUUAGAUUGGACCUGUGGAUUGCUAGUGUGGUUCUGACAUUUCCUCGAAUCCCUGGUGAACAUAAUUAAACAAGUAUGAAAUAAAACAAAGUGGGCUAAUGUAGUAAAAACAAUAACACAAUUACUUUAAAGAAUUAAUGUCACGUAUAUUAUAUAUAAAAAAAUACGAUUAUCAUUAUAUAAGAUAAAAUUGAUAAUUUAGUUUUCAACAUUACUGGAAACGUAUCACAGAGAUUUUGUCUCUCAGCAAGUUACACAUAACAAAUUUUCGUACAUUAAAAAAUAAAUUACAUUGCAUGAAAUUUUACAAAAGAGCACAUAUUUUUUAAAAGUAAAUAUAGAAAUUUCAACAGACUACACUUGUUUUUUUUAUUUUUUAUUAUUUAAUCUUUAGAAAACAAGUUUAACAGAUUUGAUAACUAGGAAGUUUUACGUAUUUAUACCAAGAUUGAUUCUAUAUAGAAUUUUAAUUCAAAAUAUAAUUAUUUUUAUUAAUUUCAUUGCAAGCAACAACGAAGUAAAUCAGAGGAGGAGGAGAAAUUACCAGCGAGUGAUAUCUUACGGCUACCACUUGAUGUGGGGAAUGUGAGAUAUCUUAUGCCAGUCUUCUCCUUUCCCCUCUCUAUAACGGUUUUCCAGAAGAGGACAUAUGUGAAUAGUCAAUUCCUGCAGCGUCGACGUUCGAAGGAGGUAAUCCGGCAGCACCUUUAAUUUGGGGCAAUUCUGAAUAAACAAGAAAGAAAGACGCGGUAUGUCUGUUGUCCUGCGAUCUUCUAGAAUGGGCAGUUCUUCCAAAUUUUCACAAGAAUAAAUACUCAGUUCCUGCAGUGCCGUCGUUUGAAGAAGGUAAUCUGGCAGUACCUUUAAUUUGUUGCAAGACCAAAUCAUCAAGGAAGAAAGACGUGGCAUGAUGGAGAUGUUUUCCUUCCUCGUAAUCCUGUAAUUCCACUCUUCCAAUUCUUGCAUGUCCCAAAUUUUGAGAGAUUUCAAUUUGGUGAAGGCAGUAACUGAUGAUGAUGAUGAAGAUGAGGACGGCUCAUCAUCACUGCUUUCUUCUAUUCCCAAAAACUCAUUACCCACUCUUUUUACACUUGUCAAGUACUUUAGUUCGAGUUUUUCCAGAGGUAAUUUUCCCAAAGGAGGCAAAUGCUCACAGUUAAAACACAACGAAAGUUUUAGUUCCCUUAGAUUGGUUAGCGAAGUCAACCAUUUGGGAAAAAUGUUGCCUCCGUAGCAUUUAAUCCUUAACUCCUCUACAUUCACAGGCGGUUGUAAGGCUUCAAGAAGUUGUUUAUCUUUCUCAUUCUUCCUCCUCCCUUCUUCACCUUCCAUAUCUACGACUCCAAACAGAAGAUGCAAACGAAGGAGGUUUUUCUUAUUGUAAAGUUGUAACCUCUUAGCCUCAUCUACAUGCGAUACAUUACUCAGUUCUUCUACUCUACAUUCACGAAGGAGUUGAAGAUUUUUCAGAGAUUCAAGCCUACACGUGCUGCCGCCAUCAACACCUCCACCCACAACAAACCUUUCUAAUGUUCGAAGGCUGGUCAAUCUGGAAAUCCCUAUUGGCAGGUACUCCAACGAAGAAGUUUUAGCAUUCAGUAAACUCCUCAUGUUCAUUAACUUCCCAAUCCCCGCUGGCAAUUCUCUAAGAUUUCGGCACCGCCUAAUAUCUAGCUUUUGUAAAUUAUAUAAUUCACACAAAGUCUCAGGUUGUCUCUCUAUACACAGUCCAGACAAAUUAAGAUAUUUUAAAUGUAUCAAUUUUCCGACAUUUUCUGGAAUUUCUCUAAUCAAAUUUGGGUCAAAAUAAAAAGGAUAAAAAUAUACGAAUGAUUGCCUUAUAACUAAUGUCCUUAAACACGCCAAUUUACUAAAUAACUCCUGAAGGAUACUACUAUUAAGACUCAGAUUGGAAUAACUUUCAUCAUAAAUUAAGAGGCUACGCAAUCUAUCAAAUUCAAAAAAGGACGUAGGAAAUGAAGCACCUCUUUCAAAAUUUAACCCUAAGUGACGGACUUUCUCACCAAAAGAGUUUAUGACUGAUUCUUUGGUACCAUUAAUUUCUAGCCACAAACAUUCUUUGCUACUUACAAAUUGAGCAAAAUCAUGUACUAUGUCAUGCAUCUUGCAACUCAUAAUAUCAUCAUCAUCAUUUUUCUCAAACUCUUGAAAGAAAGAGCGUGCUGCUAAAAUGUUGAAACAUUCUUCCCCAGUAAUGUCCAUCUCUUCAUAUUCUUCUGCAUUAAGGUAACCUUGAGCCAUCCAUAGUGAAAUUAGUUCCUCUUUAUUCAUAUUGUAGUCUUUUGGAAAGACAGCACAAUAUGAGAAACACCGUUUUACCAUAGAAUUGGAGGGCAAAUCGUUAUAACUCAACAACAAAGGAGCUAAAAGACCUUGCCCAAUCUCUUCUACUUUCCACAUUUCACUCUUUAAAAUUCUUUGCCACUCAUUUACUGUAAUUUUAGAGCGCAAGAGAUUCCCUAUUACCUUUGCAGCAAGAGGCAGGCCUUUGCACUUCAGUGCAAUUUUUCGCCCAAUUGGUUCUAAUUUUUCACAAUCUUCGAAAGAGCGACUGGAAAAUGCCAACCGCUUGAACAACGACCAACAUUCCUCUUCAGCCAAUUGCUUAAUGAAGAUAAUAUUUGUUGAUCCCAUCAUACGUGCAACUGACUCAUUACGUGUGGUAACUAAAAUUUUACUUCCUUGGAGACCAUUCUUUAGACAAAGGAAGAAUGGUUCCCAUUUAUUUUAACUCCCAUCCCAUACAUCAUCUAAGACAAGAAAAAACUUUUUUCCUUCAAUUGAUCUAUGGAUAUGGCUCGUAAGAGAUUGGAAUUCGUUUAAACUAGGAGCUGACUCACCUAGACCUUCAAUGAUUGCUUUGACAACCCUAAUCUCCUCAAAAGUGUCUGAUACACACACCCAUAUAACUUUUUCAAAAUUUCUUUUCACCUCAUCAUUAUUAUAGGCUAGUUGUGCAAGAGUGGUUUUACCUAUACCCCCUAACCCAACUAGUGAGAUGACAUGAAGGCCUUUUUGUUGUUCACUACUUUCACACAACAACUUGCUUAAGAGCUCAUUUUUCUCAUCAACUCUACCGCAAACCUCUCCCUCAUCAAUCAAGGAGGUGGUUCGCACUCGCUCUGGUUUCUUAACAUUGUUGCUCACAUUCUCAACAAAUUUAAACGUAUCUUUUUGGGAGGCAAUAUCAUCUAGCUUUCCAUUGAUUUCCCUAAUCUUGACGGCAAUGUCAUGACGAAGACUAAGUUGUUUGAAACUACCAAAGCAGUUUGAUACAGCACAAAAGAAGGAGCGUACCUUCUUCUUAUGAGGAGCAAGAGCAAGAGCAUUGUCAUCAUCAACGCCCUCAAUCUGCAAUUUGAGCCUUGCAGUGGUCCACUCCUCCAACACGUCUUCCAUGUCGUAAGAUGCGUCUUUGAGCUGAUCCAGCCAAAAAGUAACAGCAUUGUCGCGCUGCAUUUGCCUUUUCUCUGCAUCUUCCAGCACAGCUCGAAUGGCUCGAAGAUUGCUGGUAAGCUUUUUCACUUCUUCUCGGACACCAGUCACAAGCCUCACGUGUUGUUUCACUUCAUCAGCCGCAACGGAGAUCAGCUGCUCCAGGAGAGAGGAAACGAUCGCAUCAACCAUUCUGACAAAGAAAACGAGAAUUUUGAUGAGUUAUUAGAUGUGCUUUUGUUGCGAAGAUAUGAAAGAAAAGGAGUUAUUGCGUUCUUUUAUACUGCAUAGAAAAAGCUUAUGCUUAUCCCCACCCCACACGUCAAUGAUUGUAGAAUGUUUAUUUUCCCUGAUUCUACUCCACUAGUUGUGAUGCGUAAUUAUAAAUAUUCUCAAGUUAUGUAUGAAAAUAGCACAAAUUUGGAUCUAGUAAUGAUUUUUAUGUACUUUUUCAUCAUCUUCUAAAAUACCAUCUCUGCAUGUGCACGAAAUAUGGAAUUGGGUGAAAAAAGUUAUGCUUAUCCCCACCCACACGUUAGUAAUUGUAGUAGCAUCUUUAAUUUCCAUGAUUCUACUCCACGGACGAACACAUUUUUUGUAGUAACAUCUUUAAAUUCCCACACGUUAGGAAUUUGGCACAUAUCUCAAACUCGUCGCAUCUUUAACGUAUGAAGUUGAUGAAUAAAUUCUUUUCUCAUGUCAAUUUAAAACUCCGAGAUUAUGUGCCAAAUUCCUAACGUGUGGGAAUUUUACCUCCUAAGUAAUCCGGCCCACUACCAAGUGCCAACUUUUUCUCUGUCGAGUUAAUGAUGUUGUUUUGUUUUCCUUGUUUUAAUUAAUGUUGCCGAGAGAAACAGAUCGAUGCAAAUGGCUAGCCAGGUUUUGCAGAAACCGUGAAUGGUCUUGCAUGUGACAUAAAGCUUAAUCAUGUAUAUAUGUGUGUUGACACUUGCCAGUUCAUUUUUGUUAUAAAGAUUAUUGAUACUCAUAAAUGUACUACUUACAAAUCAUAAAUUUUGAGUUUGACACUUUAGUUUCAUUUUGUAAUCCCUACACUCUUUAAAUAUUUGUAACAAUAUAUUUCAAACUUUAACUCAGACGUAAUGAAUGAAGGGGGAUCCUCUUCUUAUAUAAAUUUUUAUUUUUUAACGUUCAAGUUACAUUUGAUUACGUGUACUUAUUAUCUAGUUUUGACUAUCUAAUUACAUUUGAUUACGUGUACUUAUUAUAUAAUUUUUUUUUGAAAUGAUGGAUCUGGUGAGAUUUUUUACAUCUUGGAUCAGUAGGUCAAGAACAGGCAGGGCAGGGCCUUCUCUGAAGUCAAUCUUGUGAGCAACACCAGCUUUUUGGAUAAUUGGCAGCCCCAAUUCAUAAUUUUCUCUAUUGAUGUCCAUGGCCAAAAUCUGCAACCGAAGCUUAUUCUACUCUUAUUAAUCGAGAGAUAAUUUUACCUCUAACUAAUUUAAUUGGGAGGAAAAUCGAGAGAGAUAUCCACUUUGUCCUUAUUAAUUGAGAGAUAAUUUUACCCUUACCCAAUUUAAUUGGAAAGAAAAUCGAAUUCCAACAAUAACUAGGACUCGAAUCCAUGCACUUAAGCUAACUUUAUGCUUUUGGACGCAUGGUUAUAAUGUUCUUUAUUUAAAUCCUAACAAAUGGUGGGACUUGAACUUGUGCCUACAAACAUUGAGUGCUUAGGGGCUGCAAAAUUUCAUAACUUAAUUUUAGUUGAUGUGGCAUGUGCCCUAUCACAUCAAUGUAGAUAAUAAUAAUUAAUACAUUAACAAAAUGAAAAAUAUUAGUUUACAAAAUACAAAUCCAAAUUUUUUGUGUGAGAGGGGAUUUAAAAGGGAGAGACUAAACAAAUGUGGUGAAAAACGACAUGUAUUACUACAACUGAAAAUACGAAGUCUAGGCAAUUGAAAACAUCGGGUUUUUUAUUUAAAUAUCCCCAAUUUGUCCUUAAAUACCAAAUUUAUACCCUAUUAUAUACAUAUACCUCACGAAGAUAGGGAAAGUAAAAAAUAACCUAAAAAAAUCAGGAAUCCGCACAUUUCUUCCUCUUAGUUCAGAAAGAUGUCGAGUACGAAGUCGGGUAAGUCGAGAAUUUAGUCGAGCAAGAAUUGGAGAUAAGUAAGUCAAUUAGGAAGUUGAGUAAGCAUAUUAAGUGAGUCGAGUAUUAAGUGGUUGAGUAUUAAGUAAAAGUCAAGUAAAUUUUUUGAACAAGUCGAGUAAAAUUUAUGUAAUUUUUAAAGAGGUCGAGUAUUAAGUCGGGUAAGUACAUUGGGUCGAGUAUUAAUAUUUUUAAAGAAGUGAAGUCUGAUAAGUUGAGCAUUUAGUCGAGUAAGAAGUUAAGGCAAUUGAAUAAGUCGAGUAUCUAGUUGAGUACAAAGUCGGGUAAGUUGAGCAUUCAGUCGAAUAAGAAGUAAAGACAAUUGAAUAAGUCGAGUGUCUAGUCGAGUACGAAGUCGAGUAUGAAAUCUGGUAAGUUGAGCAUUCAGUCGAGUGAGAAGUGAAGGCAAUUGAAUAAGUCGAGUAUCUAGUCGAGAACGAAGUCGGGUAUGAAGUCUGGUAAGUUGAGCAUUUAGUCGAGUGAGAAGUGAAGACAAUUGAAUAAGUCGAGUAUCUAGUCGAGUACAAAGUCGGGUAUGAAGUAUGGUAAGUUGAGCAUUUAGUCGAGUAAGAAGUGAAGGCAAUUGAAUAAGUCGAAUAUCUAGUCGAGUACGAAGUCAGGUAUAAAGUAUGGUAAGUUGAGCAUUCAGUUGAGUAAGAAGUGAAAGUAAUUGAAUAAGUCGAGUAUCUAGUCGAGUAAUCAAACCAAUUUUCUCCAUAGAGUCUUCAAAGUCAACCUAAAAAUGAAAUGCAGGUGGAAAUGAAAAUUCUAUAAACUAAAUAAAAUAAAAUGCAAUUCUUGAGCUUGAGCUUGCUUUUACAUCAUCAUAAUAGUGAAUUUUGAUACAUCUUUACUUUUCUGUUCUUGUUUAUUCACAACAAGAUAUCAAUAAAAGAAGAUGGAAAUGAAAUUCUAUAAAAUAAAGCAAGUGAAUUACCAGAAGAACAUUUUAGCAAUCCUUUGGCUAAAAUUUUCAUUUUCUUAGCAUACUCUCCUGCCUGUGAAUUGCUAGUGUGGUUCUAACAUUUCCUCGAAUCCCUGGUGAACAUAAUUAAACUCGUAUGAAAUAAAACAAAGUGGGCUAAUGUACUACUAAAAACAAUUACACAAUUACUUUAAAGAAUUAGUGUCUGUUUGGUAUGGCUUAUUUAAGAGGCAUAAGUGCUUAUUUAAUCGUAUAAGCACUUUUUAAAAAUUUUUAUGGUGUUUGGUUAUUUUUUUUGCUUAAAUAAGGUAAUUUACCUCUACUAGCAAAAGUCCAAAAUUUGAGCUUUUGGGAGUAGAGGUUAUAGAGCUUUUCUAAAAAUAUAUAAUAUAAAAAAUAUCACACAGUUUAAUGGUUCAAAAGUGAUUUUUUUAUUGACAACCAAACACCCAAUGACUUUUUUGACCAAAAGCUUUAUUAGUAUAAGCUCUGCUGCUAUAAGCUCUACUGUUAUAAGCUCUAUUUAAUAAGCUGUACCAAACAGAGCCUUAAUGUCACAUAAAUUAUAUAUAAAAAAAUACGAUUAUCAUUAUACAAGAUAAAAUUGAUAAUUUAGUUUUCAACAUUACUGCAAAUGUAUCACAGACAUUUUGUCUCUCAGCGAGUUACACAUAACAAAUUUUCGUACAUUAAAAAAUAAAUUGCAUUGGGAUUUUCUAUGAUAUUGUAUGAAAUUUUACAAAAGAGCACAUAUUUUUUUAAAGUAAAUAAAUAUAGAAAUUUCAGCAGACUACACUUGUAUUUUUUUAUUAUUUAAUUUUUAGAAAACAAGUUCAACAGAUUUGAUCACUAGGAAGUUUUACAUAUUUAUACCAAGAUUGAUUCUAUAUAGAAUCUUAAUUCAAAAUAUAAUUAUUUUUAUUAAUUUCAUUGCAAGCAACAAUGAAGUAAAUCAGAGGAGGAGAAAUUACCAGCGAGUGAUAUCUUACGGCGACCAAUUGAUGUGGGGAAUGUGGGAUAUCUUAUGCCAGUCUUCUCCUUUCCCCUCUCUUAACCCCAAAUUGUCAAUGUCUGCAGUGUCGUUGUUUGAAGUAACAACAAAGUAAAAUACAGAGAAAUUACCGGUAGGUGAUAGUAAUUGCAACCAUUCGAGAAUUUACCACUCGAUGUGGGGAAUGUGAGAUAUCCUAUGCCAGUCUUCUCCUUUCCCCUCUCUAUAACGGUUUUCAAGAAGAGGACAUCCCUCAAUACUCAAUUCCUGCAGCGUCGUCGUCCGAAGAAGGUAAUCCGGCAGCACCUUUAAUUUGGGGCAAUACCAAAUCGUCAAGGAAGAAAGAUGUGGUAUGUCUGUUGUCCUGCGAUCUUCUAGAAUGGGCAGUUCUUCCAAAUUUUCACAAGCAUGAAUAACCAGUACCUGCAGUUCCGUCGUUUGAAGAAGGUAAUCCGGCAGCGCCUUUAAUUUGUUGCAAAAACCAACUUUUAAGGAAGAAAGAUGGGGCAUGAUGGAGAUGUUUUCCUUCCUCGUAAUCUUGUAAUUCCACUCUUCCAAUUCUUCCAAUGCUACAAUUUCGAGUGAUUUCAAUUUGGGGAAGGCAAUAACUGAUGAUGACGAUGAAGAUGAAGAUGGGCCAUCCUCACUGCUUUCUUCUAUUCCCAAAAACUCAUUACCCACUCUUUUUACACUUUUCAAGUGGAUGAUUACGAGUUUUUCCAGAGGUAAUUUUCCCAAAGGAGGCAAAUGCUCACAGUUAAAACACGAGGAAAGAUAUAAAUUCCUUAGAUUGGUUAGUGAAGUCAACCAUUUGGGAAAAAUGUUGCCUCGGUAGGAUUCAAUCUCUAAUUUCUCUAAAUUCACAGGCGGUUGUAAGGCUUCAAGAAGUUGUUUAUCUUUCUCAUUCUUCCUCCUCCCUUCUUCGCCUUCCCCAUCUACGACUCUACCAAACUCAAGAUGCAAACGAAGGAGGUUUUUCUUAUUGUCUCAUCUACAUGCGAUACAUUACUCAGCCCUUCUACUCUACAUUCACGAAGGAGUUGAAGAUUUUUCAGAGAUUCAAGCCUACACGUGCUGCCACCAUCAACACCUCCACCCACAACAAACUUUUCUAAUGUUCGAAGGCUGGUCAAUCUGGAAAUCCCUAUUGGCAUGUACUUCAACGAAUAAGUUUCACCAUUCAGUAAACUCCUCAUGUUCUUUAACUUCCCAAUCCUCGCAGGCAAUUCUCUAAGACUUGGGCACCGCCUAAUAUCUAGCUUUUGUAAAUUAUAUAAUUCACACAAAGUCUCAGGUAGUCUCUCUAUACAUAGUCCAGACAAAUUAAGAUAUUUUAAAUGUAUCAAUUUUCCAACAUUUUCUGGAAUUUCUGUAAUCAAAUUUGGAUCUGAACGCAAACGAAUGGACAAUUGGCUUAUAACUAAUGCCCUUAAACACGCCAAUUUUCUAAAUAACUCCCGAAGGAUGCUGCGAUUAAGACUCCUAUUGGAAUAACUUCUAUCAUAAAUUAAGAGGCUACGCAAUCUAUCAAAUUCAAAAAAGGACAUAGUAAAUGAAGCGCCUCCUUCAAACUUUAACCCUAAGUGACGGACUUUCUCACCAAAAGAGUUUAUGACUGAUUCCUUGGUACCAUUAAUUUCUAGCCACAAACAUUCUUGCCUACUUACAAAUUGAGCAAAAUCAUAUACUAUGUCAUGCAUCUUGCAACUCAUAAUAUCAUCAUCGUCAUAAUAUUUUUCAAACUCUUGAAAGAAAGAGCGUGUUGCUAAGAUGUUGAAAUACUCUUCUCCAAUCAUCUCCAUUUCUUCGUCUUCAUCUGCAUUAAGGUAACUUUGAGCCAUCCAUAGAUUAAUCAAUUCCCUUUUAUUCAUAUUGUAGUCUUUUGGAAAGACAGCACAAUAUGAGAAGCACCGUUUUACCAUAGAAUUAGAGGGCAAAUCGUUAUAACUCAACAACAAAGGAGCCAAAAUACCUUGCCCAAUCUCUUCUACUUUCCACAUUUCACUAUCUAAAAUUCUUUGCCACUCUUUUACUAUACUUUUAGAGCGCAAGAGAUUCCCUAUUACCUUUGCAGCAAGAGGCAGGCCUUUGCACUUACAUGCAAUUUUUCGCCAAAUUGGUUCUAAUUUUUCACAAUCCUCAAAGGACCUACGUAGAAAUGCUAUCUACUUAAACAGUAACCAACAUUCCCCUUCACCCAACUCCUUGACAGGGAUAAUAUUUAUUGAUCCCAACUGUAGUGCAACUGACUUAUCACGUGUGGUAAUCCGAAUUUUACUUUCAUGGUGGCCAUUCUUUAGACAAGAAAAGAAUGGGUCCCAUUCUUUAUAAUCUCCAUCCCACACAUCAUCUAAAACAAGAAAAAAUUUCUUCCCCGUAAUAUAUUCCUGAAUCUGUUUCAUAAGAGAUUCGAAUUCGCUUAAACCAGAAGCUGACACGCCUAGACCUUCAAUGAUUGCUUUGGCGACCCUAAUCUCCUCAAAAGUGUCUGAUACACACACCCAUAUAACUUUUUCAAAAUUU
rnacentral:lncRNA from 1 species